GAUGCUUGCUUAUGUCCCAUUUGAUAAAGUUGCAACAAUAGAGAGAAGAUUAGAAUGGUCUUGCUCAAGGAUGACAUCGCAAAAACAAAAACACUUGUUUAUUCU
rfam:Triticum aestivum genome assembly, contig: Triticum_aestivum_CS42_TGACv1_scaffold_516160_6BS